rnacentral:rRNA from 1 species
GGGGGGGAGGCUACCAUGCAGUCGAACGGUAACAGGAAGCAGCUUGCUUCUUUGCUGACGAGUGGCGGACGGGUGAGUAAUGUCUGGGAAACUGCCUGAUGGAGGGGGAUAACUACUGGAAACGGUAGCUAAUACCGCAUAACGUCGCAAGACCAAAGAGGGGGACCUUCGGGCCUCUUGCCAUCGGAUGUGCCCAGAUGGGAUUAGCUUGUUGGUGGGGUAACGGCUCACCUAGGCGACGAUCCCUAGCUGGUCUGAGAGGAUGACCAGCCACACUGGAACUGAGACACGGUCCAGACUCCUACGGGAGGCAGCAGUGGGGAAUAUUGCACAAUGGGCGCAAGCCUGAUGCAGCCAUGCCGCGUGUAUGAAGAAGGCCUUCGGGUUGUAAAGUACUUUCAGCGGGGAGGAAGGGAGUAAAGUUAAUACCUUUGCUCAUUGACGUUACCCGCAGAAGAAGCACCGGCUAACUCCGUGCCAGCAGCCGCGGUAAUACGGAGGGUGCAAGCGUUAAUCGGAAUUACUGGGCGUAAAGCGCACGCAGGCGGUUUGUUAAGUCAGAUGUGAAAUCCCCGGGCUCAACCUGGGAACUGCAUCUGA